CCUACGGGCGGCAGCAGUGGGGAAUAUUGCACAAUGGGGGAAACCCUGAUGCAGCGACGCCGCGUGAGUGAAGAAGUAUUUCGGUAUGUAAAGCUCUAUCAGCAGGGAAGAAAAACGACGGUACCUGACUAAGAAGCCCCGGCUAACUACGUGCCAGCAGCCGCGGUAAUACGUAGGGGGCAAGCGUUAUACGGAUUUACUGGGUGGAAAGGGAGCGUAGACGGAGAAGCAAGUCUGAAGUGAAAGCCCGUGGCUUAACCACGGGACUGCUUUGGAAACUGUUUGACUAGAUUGCUGGAGAGGUAAGUGGAAUUCCUAGUGUAGCGGUGAAAUGCGUAGAUAUUAGGAGGAACACCAGUGGCGAAGGCGGCUUACUGGACAGUAACUGACGUUGAGGCUCGAAAGCGUGGGGAGCAAACAGGAUUAGAUACCCCAGUAGUC
rnacentral:rRNA from 1 species